GACGAACGCCGGCGGCGUGCUUAACACAUGCAAGUCGAACGAUGAAGCUGGAGCUUGCUCUAGCGGAUUAGUGGCGAACGGGUGAGUAACACGUGAGCAAUCUGCCCUUGACUCUGGGAUAACUGCGGGAAACUGUAGCUAAUACCGGAUACUUUCACCGGGGGGCAUCCUCUGGUGAUGAAAGAAUUUCGGUCAAGGAUGAGCUCGCGGCCUAUCAGCUUGUUGGUGAGGUAACGGCUCACCAAGGCGACGACGGGUAACCGGCCUGAGAGGGUGACCGGUCACACUGGGACUGAGACACGGCCCAGACUCCUACGGGAGGCAGCAGUGGGGAAUAUUGCACAAUGGGCGCAAGCCUGAUGCAGCAACGCCGCGUGAGGGAUGAAGGCCUUCGGGUUGUAAACCUCUUUAGCAGGGAAGAAGCGAAAGUGACGGUACCUGCAGAAAAAGCACCGGCUAACUACGUGCCAGCAGCCGCGGUAA
rnacentral:rRNA from 1 species